GUCUACUCACCAGGCCUCUCUGAGGACGCAGGAGGCGGGGUUGCCGUGGGGGAGGAGCACCCUGCAGAUGGCGCCCUGACUUUGGCAAGGAAGGGGCUCCAGGGUCACAUGGAGGUCAAAGGAGAGCGGGGCAUGGCGAGGGCUGCUCACACAGGGUCCUGGCCACCCACGGGAACUAACUGAAAGAGCAGGGGGCAUUGAGGCCCUGAAGACACAGGGAGAACGCAGGCCACCUGGGCGGAGGGGACGUUUCGCUCAUGCAGUCAUCAACAAACUUUAACUGAGGGACACAAGGGAAUCUCCAGAGAUUUAAGGAGUAAGUGCAUGAAAAGAAAGAAGGAAGGAGAGAGGACAGAGUCCCUGCACUGUCGGAACUCUCCUUGAAUAUAAGAUGACGGCUCAGAUGAAAAAAAUACCUACAAUGCAGAAUCAUGCAGGAGGUGCUAUAAAACUCUCCCAAAAUGAAGAAAAGAGAAAAAUCCUCGCCUUCGGGAGUCCACCUUGACAGCCCCAGCCCCGCACCCAGGGCCUGGCACACAAACAGCAAGCCGGGCCUCGGUGGAGUAGGUGCACCUGGGGCUGCAGGGCAGGGGGACCUGGACAGGUCUCAGAGGGGGCUGCUGAGAGGAGGGGAGGGGCUCGGUGGAAGGGUCAGUGGCCUGGCCCGGAAACCAUCCCGGAGGAGUUCCCUGGGAGCCGGAAGUCUGCAGAGCUGUCCCCAGGAGGCCACUGCAGGGGCCCCUUGCAGGUGAGUGAGGGCCCCCAGGUCUCACACUCGGGCCAGCCCAGCAGGGCAGUGACUCUGGGAGCUGUGACGAGCUGAACUGUGUCACCCUCCAGAUUCGUAGGUGGAAGCCUUCACCCCUGCCUGGUUCCUCAGAAUGUGACCUAUUUUGGCGCAGGGCCUUUCCAGAGGUAAUAAAUUAAAAUGAGGUCAUGAGGGUGGGCCCCAAUCCAGUACAACUGGUGUCCUUAUGAGAAAUGCAAGACAGCUGGGUGUGGUGGCACAUGUCUGCAAUACCAGAACUCUGAGAGGCUGAGUCAGGAGGAUCACAAUUUCCAGCCCAGCCUGGGCAAUGUAGGGACAGCCUGCCUCAAAAUUUAAAAAUAAAUAAAUAAAUAAAGGGCUGGGGAUGUAGCUCAGUGCAAAGCCCCUGGGUUCAAUCUCCAGGAGAGAAAAGAGAAGAAGGAAGGCAGGGGAGGAAACCAGGGAUUUUUGUGCAGAGGAAUGGCUGUAAGCUGUCUGCAAGUCCAGGAGAGAGGCCUCAAGAGAAACUGACCCUGCCAACACCUUGCUGCUGGACUUCCAGCCUCCAGACGUGAGUCAGUUUCUGUGGUAUGAGUCUCCCAGGCUAUGGUGCUUUAUUGCGGCAGCCUCGGCAGACGAAGACAGGAGUCAGCAUCACACUCUGAACUUACUGUGCAUCUCAGAUGAGUCAUUUAGCCUCUCUGUCCUGACCUGAGAGAAGAAGCAAGGUCCACCCAGGGCAACAGAGAAGCACUGGAGAAACUGGUGUGUACCAUGGGCAUCCGUUCAGUGUGCAGAGUUUGGUCAGAGCACCUCUAAGCUGAGGUACAGCAGGAAGGGAAGUUCGCCAGGGUGCAGGGGGAAGAAACCAGGCCUUCCUUUGUAUCUGUUCUUACAUCUUCAUUUUACGUUUCUAUUUAUAUGCAUGGGGUUUUUAGAAUAUAUAAAUGUUUAUGUAAAACUUAUGAAAAAAGGUCAGCCUUUUAUAUUUCUGCUUCGUGCAUGAUUUUUUUGUAUUGUUGUUUUGGCAUUGUUGGAUUUUUAUAUUUGGUUUUUGUUGUUUUGUUUUGUUCUGUUAUUUGCAUUGUUGGGGAUAGAACCCAAGGCCUUGCCCCUGCUAGGCAAAUACUCUGCCACUGAAUUGCAUCCUCAGAGAUUUUAUUUUGCAGAAGAGUCUCACUGUAUCCUCCAGGCUGUCUCAAACUUGUGAUCCUGCCUCAGCCUCCCCAGUAGCGGGAUUACAGGCAUGCGCUGCCACAUCAGCCUGUGCAUGGUGCUGAUGUAGUCAUCUGUAAAUGCAAUGCUAGCUGUGUGUAAUAUAUGAAUAAGCAGAUUUGCAUAUAGUAGGGGAUGAGAUUCUUAAGAUUUACUGGUGAGAAUACAGAGACCCACACAGAACGACAUGCUGUGCCAUCAAUAUUUCUCAUCUAUUGCUGUGCUAGGCUGGGUGCAGCAGGGGACAGCGGCUGUGUGAGAUGCCAUCGGGCCUGGGAAGCUGGUGGGUUGGCAGGGCGUUUGUGCACACUGAGUCCCCUGGACAAGUUUUGAGACUCAGAGACAGAGGCUCGCUGGUCUUCAGGAACGUGGUUGUGCGAUUCUGCGGACAGCGAGAGCUCUGGGCCGGCCUCACUGGGCCGACACCAGCGGCGUGGCCUUCUUCAGGCAGACGCCCUUCGUGGUGUGAGGGACAAACCGACACCAGAGAAAUAAAGGAAAAUGUGGAGGCGCUAUCUGGGGCCUGCGGCUGACAGAUGGGUACCUGUGAGGCUCUGCUGAGAUCCCCACCAGUGGCUGGUGAUGCUUGGUCGGGGAUGUUCUUGUUUGGGGAAGUGGCCAGCAUGGAGCCUGUAAGGCAGCUGUGGGCUCAUUCCACAGUCACAGAGAGAUGGACAGAGGAGACCAGCGGCUGGGAGAGCUCUGUGCUGAGACCCCACAAAAUGAGACCCUUCAGGGCCCCCGAAGCGUAGGGCAGGUGUGAAGAGGGCAUGGCUGGCUUGUGCUCGCUGUGCGGCAGCUUCCAGUCUGUGAAGGCAGGGUGGGAGCCACAGAAUACAAACUGGGGGAACUGGAGGUCUGAAGUGCCAGGUCAUGCUCAGCAAACAGCCCAGACCAGUGGGGGCGAACCUAUGGCAUGAGAGCCACAGCCAGCACACAGAGCCUGCUCUAUCGGGCCGAGAGCCAAGUUGCCCCACAGCUGAGCAUCAGAUAACACUUGUUUUUUCCUAAACUAACACCUCAGUUUUCAGGUUUAAUUGCAGUGUUGGUGCUUUGCGAAAAAUAAAUGGGUUUGGGGUUGCAUCUUGGGCACUCAACUCUAAAAGGUUCGCCAUCCCUGACCUAGACUUUUCCUGCAACAAACUGUACAAAUUCCUAGCUGUGUGGCCUGUGACUGGUCACUUAAUGUCUCUAAACCUCUGUUGUUUCAUCUGUAAGGCAGAGUAUUCUGUUCCCAGGGUAAACAAGGAGACAGGUCUGUUAUCCCCAAACCACCUCCACGUCCCAAAAGCUCCCUCUGGGGAAUGACAUGCAGAACACAUCGCUCAGGAAGAAGGCCCAGAACACACCCACUGGGCAGCUGGGCAGCAGCCUCCGCCUUGUGACUGUCCCUCCUGCACCAUAUGGCAAGAGGGAUGGGCCAGGCAGCGGGGAGGGCCCGGGAGGCUUCAGCUGGUGAGUCUCACUCCACAGCUGGCAGGAGCAGAACGUCAGCCCCUCCACACCCCACCCUGUGGGCAGCAGAGGACGAAGGCCCAGAGCCCAGCAGACAGGUGCCUUGUCCUCCCUGAGCCGCUGACUCUGAGCAGAUGCAGGGCCCCAGCCUCCUCCCUCCUGCCUCCUUCCUCCUCUUCUUCCUGCUCUGAAUGAAUCUUUCUGGCUUCCUGGAAGUAGCCUGGGCUCCAUUUUCCCUCCCUCAACAGGGCAACAUUCCCUAGGCUCAGGCAGAGCACUGGUGAGUGGAGAAGUCACACUACCCAGGGGCCUCUGUGUAGUGGCCCGGACGGAGCAUGGGAACAGGGACUUUCAUGGGGGAACGUCAUUCUUAGGAAAAGUCUUUCAUCCCCAAACCAAAGCAUUCUUUUUUUUUUUUUGGUACCGGAGAUCGAACUCGGGUCCUUGCACUUGCACAGCAGGCGGCGAAACCACUGAGCUCAAUCCCCAGCCCACCAAAGCAUUCUUUUAAAAUUUUAUAGAAAAGAAAAAAGAGGCUGCAUUUGAUUUGGCAUGGAUUUACUGAACAUCCAUUCUGUGCUGGGCAUUGCUGGGCACCGUGGACACAGUGGGUAAAAAAUGGCCCUGGCACUUUCGGAUAAAUAACCGGGUUUGGGAGUGCAGUUUGGGCACUUGGUCUCUAAUAGGUUCACCAUCCCUGGAGUAGGGGUUGGUCCCCUCCACACCCUGGACACACCAUGCAGGUGUCAGCAGAGGGCGCUGUCUGGUCUGGGCCACGGGCAAUGUGGGUUCUGGGCUCCUCUGAGGACUGUGAACCGUGGCAGGACUACCCCCCGUGGGCACGGCACUGGGGACAGGACACGGGGCCCUCCACAGGCACAAUUAAACGUCAUUUGCAUCUCUUACAGGGAACAGAUGCUCCUUUCCAUCGGAAAUGUUCCCAUAUGGUCUGGGUUUGUUGCAAUUUCUAACAAGGCCUGGCCUUGAAUUUUGCAAUUAAAGGUGUCCCUGGGCUAUCACCAGAAAAGGAACCAAGUUCCAUUUGGCCCUGGAGGGUUUUUUUGGCCUCAGGCAGGAAGGAAUCUAGACAUCUGUAGCACAGGCCCUUACCAGCUCUACCUGAGUCCCACUCGGGGACAGUUUGGAGCCUUCCCUCUAGGGGUGAGCAGCAGCCCUGCCCUGAAGUCCUAGGAAAGACAGCAGAGUGGGGAGACGGGGAGGGACAGGGACCAGCGAGCAGGUCCCAGGGCUGUCAGGAUUGGCUUCAGGAGCCUCCCCUCGAGCAUCUCAUAGCCUCACUUUUCUGUUCACUGACCCUUUGGACCCUCUCCCCUCAUUUUUCCUCCUCUCUAACCUCAGGCCACAAACGGCCUCCCCAGAUCUUCAGACGUCUUCAAACCAAACCAGCAAUGGUUUCCGCACUCUGUGAACUGGCCAGGUCCUCACCUGCUCCAGCAUCCUCGGGGUCCCUGGCUGCUCAGUGUGGGGAGGACCAUCCUGCAGACUUCACGCCAGCCCUGUCCCCCAGCCCAGCCCACGGUUGUCCUGUAAGGCCUUUAACUUACAGCUCCUCUUCCCAUUCUGCUCUCAGCUUGCUAUCUGAAUCUGGUGCAUGCUCUCAUCUCCCUAAUCACGUCUGGCUUUGUCUUGGCCCAGAUUCCCCAACCCCUCCUCCUAGGAACACAUCUACAUGUAACCCAAGAACUGUUCCCCGCCAGGGGACACCUUGGGUGUCACAUGUGCUUUUCCAGAAGUGGCCAUAGGAGGGCGGCCUUUCACCUCCUCUCAGGAACCCCUCUGUCUUCCCUGGACUGUGAACUCCUAUGUCCCCAGGCUAUGUCCUGUUGCAGGGACUGCUCAGCCUGCUCUCCCAAAUAGCAUUGCAGGCCUCCCCUGACCUUCUGUCUUCCCUCACACAGUUAUCUCCCUUAUCCUAUGGCCUCAGGACCUAGCCUGAGCUAUUAAUUCAUUCACUGGCUGUGUGACCAGGUGCGUUAUUUUUCUGUCAUAUGACAAAAUACUUUAUAUGAUCAACUCUUAAGGAGGAGAAGUUUACUUUGGCUCAGGAUUUCAGAGGCUUCCGUUCAUGGUUUGACCUGUUGCUUUGGGGCCUUCUGGUGAGACAUCAUGGAAACUGCAUGGUGGAGGGAGCAUCCACCUCCUAACAGCCAGGAGCAAAGAGAAAGCCACGGGAAGGAGCCAGGGUUCCAACAUCCCCUUCGAGGGAAGAGACCUGUCCCCAGGGACCUAACUUCCUUCCACUAGGCUCCACCUCCUCAGGGUUCCACCACCCCCUAAGAACACCAGAUUGAAGACCAGGCUUUCAACAUAUAGGCCUUUGGAAGAUGGCCCAGACCUAAACUAUGGCACCUGGUAAGUGAUUGAUCUUCUCUGUACCCUAGGCUCCUUAAAACAUGGAUUGGGGACACUAAUGCCCAUAUCACUGGCUGCUAUGAUGAUCCCAUCAGAUAAACACUGUCAUCCCUGUUGCUCAGUGACAGCGCUGGUACAACUCCAGGUGGGAUGAGGCCUGAAAUCCACUAAGUGUCUACCCUGCCCCAGUCCAGAUGCCCCAUCCCAAUCUACGGGUCACAGAAAGUUCUCCCUGUAAGAACUGGGGCCACAGGAGAAACACAUCCUGCUGCUAGGGCUCACUGGCUUUCUACAGCUGACCUAUGAGGUCAGGAUACCAUCUUGGUGACUCAUUUAGAGCCUGGUUAGAGUCCAACCACAAAAGGCAGAUGGAUUUGGUGGGUCUUUGCAUUUAGCAAUUGCUUCUGGGGUGAUUUCAUGGGGCCCAAGCAACCUCCCUGAUUGCAAUCACCCUCUCCAUCCCUUUCCCCAGCCGAAAGGGUGGCUAGUGGAAUUCUUUGCACUGGACCUACCAGGAGGGUGCCUGUGGGUCCUGGCCAGGAAAACCAGCUGCUGGGCCAUCCACUGAUGUCCUCUUGGAGCCUGGUCCAGAGACUUGACAGUAAAGCAAGUCUGUCGCUUACAGGUUUCUUACAACCACCUUUCAAACAUGGCCACUGGCAAUGACACAUAGCCUCCUGGAAAGCUGACCAGAUUGACUUCCACCCUCUGUGCUACUGACAUCAGAGGCACCGUGGGCAGAUCUGAACGUUAUCGAAGCACCGUAUUCUGGAACUUCCUGCCAAAUUUGCCUAUGGCACAUGGCUGAUUAUUUCAAGGUUGUCGUCUCUUUCCCUCUGGCUCCAGGCCAACUCCUGUACUCCCUAAACCGUGUGGCUGCCGACAGCAUGCAGAUCUGACAUCUGUCAGUCAAGCUUUGAGACAGAGAGCCAGCCAGUACUCUUCACCUCCCACAUCCAAGUCCCUGGGGAAGAAAUUCCACCAGGCCUGCUCGUCCACAUGAAGUGCCUAGCACCAUGCCUGACAGUGAGAAGCAUGCGGCAGUGUCAGCUGGUCUUAAUACUGGAAGUGGUGAUAGGAUUUUUUAAUAUCCAUAAUAAUUACUAGGGCCUCUGUGUCGGUGUCUGCACAGCUCUGUUUUGUGGAUGACAGUGUUCUUGUGUGGAAUCAGCGGAUACUUAACAGCCACCUGGGCCUCUGUGGCCAAGCCCACUUCAGGCUUCAGAAGCUGGAACAACCAUAGCCAUAGGCAGCUAAAUAGGCUAACUCCCCACAACCUACCAGCUCCAUUUGGACAGCAUAAAUCCUGCUUGACAGCCCCCAGCUCUGAGCCCAUGACUAAGAAAUUCUCUUUUAAGUAGAAGAUAACAUGGUUGGACAGUGACUACCAUUUGCAAACAAAAAUUCGAAAGAAAAUGGGUGCCCCGAGAAGGCUGCGCCAGGAAGCACAGGAGCAGGGAGGGAGAGAAACCCUUCCAGAUCACACCCGCAAGGAUCACUCCUCCAACCAGACCCCACCUCCUAACAGCAAGGCAGCUGUGCUGCCCAUGUGGCUGAGUCACCUUCCAGAACCCCCACCUAUGAGUGCAUGAGGCCUCUGGGGGACAUUCUUGGUCUAAAUCACAAUAAUCUUCAGUACUGAAACACACACACACAAAACAAAGGGCUAGAGGUGUGACUCAGUAUUCCCUGGCUUUAAUCUCCAGUGCUGUAAAUAAAUAAGUAAAUUUUAAAAACAGAAAAUAAUAAGUAAAAUGAGGAUGUGGAGAAAUCAGAACCCUUGUGGCAGGUAGGAAUGUAAAAAUUGUACAACCGCUAUGGAAAACAGUAUGAGGGUUCCUCAGAAAUGUAAAGUAGAAUUACCGUAUUACCCAGCAACACUACUUGUAGAUAUAUACCCAAAAGAAUUGUUUGUUUAUUUUUUUUUACUGGGGAUCAAACUCUGGUCCUUGCACCUGCAAGGCAGGCAGCGGAACCACUGAGCUAAAUCCCCAGCCCUAUACCCAAAAGAAUUGAAGGUAGGAUCUCCAAGGAAUAUGGGUGUAUUCAUGUUCAUAGCACCAUUGAUUAACAUAAGCCAAAAGAUGGAAGCAAUCACCAAAUGUCACUGACAGCUAAAUGGAUAAGCAAAAUACAAUGCAUGCAUACAAUGGCAUAUUAUUGUAUCAGUCUGCUCAGGCUCCCAUAAUAAAACACUAUAAACUAAA